UACGUAGGGUGCGAGCGUUGUCCGGAAUUAUUGGGCGUAAAGGGCUCGUAGGCGGUCUGUUACGUCGGGAGUGAAAACUCAGGGCUCAACCCUGAGCCUGCUUCCGAUACGGGCAGACUAGAGGUAUGCAGGGGAGAAUGGAAUUCCUGGUGUAGCGGUGAAAUGCGCAGAUAUCAGGAGGAACACCAAUUGCGAAGGCAGCUCGCUGGGACGUUACUGACGCUGAGACGCGAAAGCGUGGGGAGCAAACAGG
rnacentral:rRNA from 1 species